AGCUUAUGAUGAUACUGAUCCACGUUUGCAAGAGGAAGUCCUGAAAAAGACUGUAGCACUUGCUAAGCAACUUGAUCUUCAGUUAGUAAAACAGGCAAUCAUGCCUCGCGUUCAUGGGUUGGCAUUGAAAACGACUGUUGCUGCGGUGAGGGUCAAUGCACUAUUAUGUUUGGGAGACAUGGUCCACACACUGGACAAGCCUGCUGUUCUAGAGAUCUUACAGACAAUACAAUGUUGUACUGCGGUUGAUCGUUCUGCACCAACUCUUAUGUGUACCCUUGGGGUAGCCAACUCCAUCUUGAAGAAGAAUGGGAUAGAAUUUGUGGCAGAACAUGUCCUUCCACUUCUCCUGCCCCUUCUCAUUGCUCAACAAUUAAACGUUCAGCAAUUUGCAAAAUACAUGGCUUUUGUAAAGGAGAUUCUCAGGAAGAUUGAAGAGAAGCGAGGAGUAACACUGAGCGACUCAGGAAAUCCAGCAGUAAACAUAAAAUCAUCUCUUACUGUUGAUGCUCAGAUACCUGGACAUGUGAACAAAACAAGUGUGAGUUCUCAGUCUACCACAAAACGCAGCCCGUCAUGGGAUGAAGACUGGAUUCCACCAAGGGGAUCUUCAACCACCGUGCAGUCUUCUAUGGCAUUGCCUUCCCAGUCUACUUCUGCAGGACAGUCUAUCCAAGUUACUUCUGGGCCUUCACAGUCAUACAUGACAUCUACUGUAUCUGGUCAGCAACUAUCAUCUUCAUGUCCUGCAGUUGAUGUGGAGUGGCCUCCUAAACCUUCGUCAUUUGGUACUACCAUUCUAAGUGAUUCUGAGAAACAAUUAGAAAACAAGGGGGCAUUGGGUUCAAGUCUUGAUGAUAUUGAUCCUUUUGCUAACUGGCCUCCCCGAUCUAGUGGUUCCUCAGCUGCUUCUCACUCUUUGAACAAUGGAUCAACGGCCCCGUUCGCAAACAGACCCGUGUCUAACAAUAGUGCUACUCUUCUUAAUGGUUUAAACUCUCAAACAAAUGGCCUUGAUCCAUGGGCUUUCAGCACCCCAAUUUCUUCACAGCCCUUGAAACAGAAUCAAGGGAUUACAUCACGCCCUGAUAGUAUCAGUAGUGGGGGUCUUGACUCACAGAGUUCAUUUGGAUUCAUGAAACAUAGUCAAGGGUCAUCAUCAGCUUUGGGUGCUUCUAGUGGUCGAGCAACCAAUAUUGGAUCAAUAUUUUCUUCGAACAAGGGUGAGCCGACUGCUCCAAGGUUGGCUCCUCCUCCAUUAACUGCUGUCGGUAGAGGAAGGGGAAAUCAAGGGCAACUCAGGUCCUCAACAUUAGGGUCUGGUAAUGCAAAGUCUCAUCCAGAGCAACCCCCUCUACUUGAUUUGCUCUAAUUGCCAAUAUGCAGAUCCCUUGCGAUGCGAGUCCAGUGAUCUGAUUAAAGAUCAAUCUGGAGAGCUGUUGAUACCACGUGAUUAAAGAUUUUUGCUAGCAAUGCCAUGGAGAAACCUGUUCAUACUCUUACUGCAUGGCAGUGUUUGCCUGGGUAGGCAAAGAUUGUUGUAGAGUGACUCUUUUUGUAGAAUAGUGUGGCUGAGUUUUGGUUUUCCUUGUUUAUCAUUUUUAUUCUUCAUUUAAUUUGUUGAACAAGGGUUGCUUUGUAAUAAUUGUAUUUUUAAAAGUAAUUAGCUCUCAACGAUGUUUAAGAAAUAAUGAAAGAGAUG
rnacentral:misc_RNA from 1 species